GGGUUUGUUUAACCUACCAAAGACUCCAGUCACCUACCCUACCUACGCAAUUUACACUUUAUAUUCCUGGAUAGACUCCUCCUGAAAGACGCAAGAAACUCUGAAGCCUGUUGACCACCUGAAGGUCUGGGUUUGUUUAACCUACCAAAGACUCCAGUCACCUACCCUACCUACGCAAUUUACACUUUAUAUUCCUGGAUAGACUCCUCCUGAAAGACGCAAGAAACUCUGAAGCCUGUUGACCACCUGAAGGUCUGGGUUUGUUUAACCUACCAAAGACUCCAGUCACCUACCCUACCUACGCAAUUUACACUUUAUAUUCCUGGAUAGACUCCUCCUGAAAGACGCAAGAAACUCUGAAGCCUGUUGACCACCUGAAGGUCUGGGUUUGUUUAACCUACCAAAGACUCCAGUCACCUACCCUACCUACGCAAUUUACACUUUAUAUUCCUGGAUAGACUCCUCCUGAAAGACGCAAGAAACUCUGAAGCCUGUUGACCACCUGAAGGUCUGGGUUUGUUUAACCUACCAAAGACUCCAGUCACCUACCCUACCUACGCAAUUUACACUUUAUAUUCCUGGAUAGACUCCUCCUGAAAGACGCAAGAAACUCUGAAGCCUGUUGACCACCUGAAGGUCUGGGUUUGUUUAACCUACCAAAGACUCCAGUCACCUACCCUACCUACGCAAUUUACACUUUAUAUUCCUGGAUAGACUCCUCCUGAAAGACGCAAGAAACUCUGAAGCCUGUUGACCACCUGAAGGUCUGGGUUUGUUUAACCUACCAAAGACUCCAGUCACCUACCCUACCUACGCAAUUUACACUUUAUAUUCCUGGAUAGACUCCUCCUGAAAGACGCAAGAAACUCUGAAGCCUGUUGACCACCUGAAGGUCUGGGUUUGUUUAACCUACCAAAGACUCCAGUCACCUACCCUACCUACGCAAUUUACACUUUAUAUUCCUGGAUAGACUCCUCCUGAAAGACGCAAGAAACUCUGAAGCCUGUUGACCACCUGAAGGUCUGGGUUUGUUUAACCUACCAAAGACUCCAGUCACCUACCCUACCUACGCAAUUUACACUUUAUAUUCCUGGAUAGACUCCUCCUGAAAGA